rnacentral:rRNA from 1 species
UACGAAGGGGGCUAGCGUUGCUCGGAAUCACUGGGCGUAAAGGGUGCGUAGGCGGGUCUUUUAAGUCAGGGGGUGAAAUCCUGGAGCUCAACUCCAGAACUGCCUUUGAUACUGAAGAUCUUGAGUUCGGGAGAGGUGAGUGGAGCUGCGAGUGUAGAGGUGAAAUUCGUAGAUAUUCGCAAGAACACCAGUGGCGAAGGCGGCUCACUGGCCCGAUACUGACGCUGAGGCACGAAAGCGUGGGGAGCAAACAGG